rnacentral:piRNA from 1 species
UAUUACUGUUACUCUGCUAAAUGGAUGC